ensembl:misc_RNA Metazoa_SRP Metazoan signal recognition particle RNA
GCUGGGUGUGGUGGUGCAUGCCUGUAGUCCCAGCUACUUGGGAGGCUGAAGCAGGAGGAUCACUUGAGCCUAGGAGGUCAGGAUGCAGUGAGCCAUGAUUGUGCCACUGCACUCCAGCCUGGGCGACAGAGUGAGACCCUGUAUUUA